rnacentral:lncRNA from 1 species
GCACAACAGGACCAGGCUCUAUGUUAUCAUAGAAGUUACAUGUGGCUUUCGGAUCAAAGUUACCUCUAGACUGAAGGAGGUCAACUUCUUUCAGUGUACAGUCAACAUUUAUCUGGAGCUGUCUGUUGAGGCUUCUCAGUUUGGUCAUUUCCUCAGGUGUUGGAAUUGCAGUUGUACAGCUAACUCUUCGAAGUCUCCUCUGCAUUAGAUCAUGCUCCAUACCAUUGACUUCAGCUUUCAGGCGUUCAAGCUCUUCUUUCUCAAGCUUCAGUUCCUUUGCUAAUCUCUCCAUCCUUGCUCGUUGAUGUAAUAGCAAGGCUUGAGUGUAAGCAUAGUCAUCCGAUCCAGAACUAGAACUUCUCUGAUACUUAUGGCUUCC